rnacentral:lncRNA from 10 species
GACGAUGACUAUAGAUUUUCAUCUGUAACUCCUAAAAACUUACUCAGAAAGUAACAACCUCCACCAACACUACUUGAAUCAGUACUGAACGAAUGUCAGGUCCUUGGGAAAUUCUCCAAUCCUGUCUCCUGUCCUGGCCGGGUGUGCUCCUGGUGCACCAUUCGACUAAGUCAAUUUGAACUAUUUGGGAGACCUUUGUACCUACGUUUCCUUCUGCUUGGAAGAUCCUUUCUGUUUUGUCAGCUCUUACUUCCAUGUUGUGGAAAACUGAUCUGACCUCCUAGUCCUGAAUCAGGGGCCAUAAAGAAAAUUGAUGAGGACAACUGGCCUCCCAGUAUGUGGAUUCAGUUUCCAUAUGUCAAUUUACCAACUCCCACUGGUAGUCUGAAGAGAUAUGGCUACUGGAGAACAGAAAAUCACCAGUAUUAAUAAAAGCAAUUUUAAGUGUUUACCUUUUAGUAUUUGAAUAGCUUUGUUAAAGAGACGUACUCAAGAAUACUAUGAAGAGACUCUUAUUGUACUCCUUACCUGGAGAUAAUUGUGAUGCCAGAAAUUCAAAUUUAUA